UACGGGGUGAGCAAGCGUUGUUCGGAUUUACUGGGCGUAAAGGGCGCGUAGGCGGCCACCGCAAGUCAAUUGUGAAAUCUCCGGGCUUAACUCAGAAAGGUCAACUGAUACUGCGGGGCUAGAGUGCGGAAGGGGCAACUGGAAUUCUCGGUGUAGCGGUGAAAUGCGUAGAUAUCGAGAGGAACACCUGCGGCGAAGGCGGGUUGCUGGGCUGAUACUGACGCUGAGGCGCGAAAGCCAGGGGAGCGAACGGG
rnacentral:rRNA from 1 species